AUUGGACGCUGGCGGCAUGCUUUACACAUGCAAGUCGAACGGUAACAGCACUUCGGUGGCUGACGAGUGGCGAACGGGUGAGUAAUACAUCGGAACGUGCCUAGUAGUGGGGGAUAACUACUCGAAAGAGUAGCUAAUACCGCAUGAGAUCUAAGGAUGAAAGCAGGGGACCUUCGGGCCUUGCGCUACUAGAGCGGCUGAUGGCAGAUGAGGUAGUUGGUGGGAUAAAAGCUUACCAAGCCGACGAUCUGUAGCUGGUCUGAGAGGACGACCAGCCACACUGGGACUGAGACACGGCCCAGACUCCUACGGGAGGCAGCAGUGGGGAAUUUUGGACAAUGGGCGCAAGCCUGAUCCAGCAAUGCCGCGUGCAGGAUGAAGGCCUUCGGGUUGUAAACUGCUUUUGUACGGAACGAAAAGCCCUCUUCUAAUACAGGAGGGUCAUGACGGUACCGUAAGAAUAAGCACCGGCUAACUACGUG
rnacentral:rRNA from 1 species